rnacentral:lncRNA from 1 species
CAAAGUUUAAGCCAAGAAAGGCCAAGGGCAAUUUCGGAAAAUGUAAAGCGGCAGCAAGUCUAUGAAAGUAGUCUAUCCUUUGACGUUUCCAUGCAGUGCUAAUGAAAAAUUGAGGAACUGAAAUCGCUUCAAAGAAACCUUGCUGAUAAAUGUCCGAGACGUUGCAACACAACCUUGGGUAUACAUUUCAACAAUGGCCGAAGGAAUUGUUUACUGACCCAUAACUAUGGCGUUCCUGAAAAGCACGAUGAAAUUACAGACCGCAACAAAUUUUUGAAUAUAUUCAACAAUAAAUUGCAAAUAAACGUCAAACCUGAAAACCUAUGGAUAGAUCUCACCGGUUAGGGAGAAAUCGACAAGUUAGUUCACGACCAAGACCAAUAAAAUAGUCACGUUCGUGUUUUGUUGUAAGAAGAAGCGGUCUAAUGGCGGCCGCCAAAAUUCGAACUUCAUCGUCGUAUAGGCCAAAUAUGAGAUAUCACACUAAAAUUUUGCGAGACAGCUUCUUUAUACACACUCUUUCAAUCAUGGUGAAAAACAGAAAUGAAAAUUUGGUCACAGUCGUACGAAGUUAGAUCCACAAAAGAUUGUACUGUACAGUUAAGUACCAAACGAAAGCUUGGAAGAGUAUCAUCCUUAAUUAACGCGAGGCUUCAAAAUCGGGCUUUAAAAGAGUCCCAAAAUUUAUCUAUACUUAGGAGUGAAAAUCGUAAUUAGAAAGAACAUAUUGAUGCAAUGUGUAUCAAGGUAAGUAAACAAAUGCCUUAGUUUGUUGGCAUUCAAAUGUUAUUUUACUGUUCGAUCCUGUCGACUCGUCACGCUCAUACAGAUACUGUGUGGGGUGAACUAUCAGCCAUGUGUAAUGACAAUUUACAACGAUUGGCAAAAUCGAGCUGCUCGUAUAACGCCGGAGACGAAACAGUUCAAAUGAGGCUAUGAAAAUCUUAGGAUGGUCAGACUUAAAAACAAAACAGGAAGGAAUAAAUUAUGUUAGUCUUCAAGUGUCUGCAUGAUCUUGUCAUUCUUGUGCCAAAAUAUCUUACUGAAUAUUUUAUUAGAAAUACUAGUAACAUUCAUCUAUAUAAUACUACACACCAAUCUCGCAGUAUUGCCAUUCGCAUGCAGGCAUACUCUGGCAUACUCUGCUACGAGCUAGAUUUGAAUUUGAAUUUGAAAUUUAAUGAACCCUCUCCAAUCAGGGGUUUUUUAGUGAUCAUACAUAAAAUAUAUCUAAAUAUAUGUACAAAGAACUAAUUUAUGAACUACUAUAAGCUAUAAAGGAAUAUCCUAUGUAUGCUAUGCGUAUCCAAAAUAUCAUGAUUCUAGAAUUUGUCCUAAAAGUUUCUUCUUAUAGAUCUCUCUUAAAAGCUGGAAUGUCAUUACAUAAUUUAAAAUUACUAUCUAGUGAAUUUCAUAUGGAAAUUAUUCUGUAUGAAAAAGAUUUCUGUCCAGUCGCAGUUCUAAAACGAGGAAUGUUUAAUUGCUGGGAGUUGCGGGUCACACGGCCAGAGAUUUCCUGUCUGGUAUUUAACUGUGUUGUCAAGUAGCCAGGUGCGCGGUCAGUCAUACAUUUGAAUGCAUAAAUUGCAUCCCUCAGGUAUAGUUGUGUUUUGACGGGAAGCCACCUUAAGGUUUUCAAUACAGGUGUUAUAUGAUCAAACUUCCUGGUACCACUGAUGAUGUGGGCUGCAAAAUAUUGUACAUGCUGUAACCGGGCUAUAUUUCCUACAGAGGUAGUUGACCAAACAGAGGAGCAGUAGAAUAGCUUGCUAAAAACACGCAUAUGAAUAAUGGUGGUUAAAAGGGUGGAGUUGGAGGCAUGUUUUACUUGGUUGAUCUGACCCAUUAUACAUAUGAUGUUAUAUGUGUAUCAAAGAUAAGAUAGGGCCAAAUUUUACGCCAAGAUAUUUAAUUGUUUGACAUGG